AGAGUUUGAUCAUGGCUCAGGAUGAACGCUAGCGGCGUGCUUAAUGCAUGCAAGUCGAACGGUGCAUGAUUUCGGUUAUGCACAGUGGCGAACGGGUGAGUAAGACGUUGGUGACCUACCCAGGAGAGGGGAAUAACUAUUGGAAACGAUAGCUAAUACCCCGGAUGUCGUCAUUGUUAGAGGGUGAUGACUAAAACCCCGGUGCUCCUGGAGGGGCCAGCGGCCCAUCAGCUAGUUGGUAGGGUAAAGGCCUACCAAGGCGAAGACGGGUAGGGGGCGUGAGAGCGUGACCCCCCACACUGGUACUGAGAGACGGACCAGAUACCUACGGGUAGCAGCAGCAAGGAAUAUUGCCCAAUGGACGGAAGUCUGAGGCAGCAACGCCGCGUGAAGGAUGAAGGCCUUCGGGUCGUAAACUUCUUUUUUGAGGGAAGAGAGCGGACGGUACCUCAAGAAUAAGCUUCGGCUAACUACGUGCCAGCAGCCGCGGUAAAACGUAGGAAGCGAGCGUUAUCCGGAUUUACUGGGCGUAAAGCGCAUGCAGGCGGUUCCAUAAGUUAGACUUGAAAGCUCCUGGCUUAACUGGGAGAGGUGGUUUAAGACUGUGGGACUAGAGGGUAGACGAGGAGAGCGGAAUUCCCGGUGUAGUGGUGAAAUGCGUAGAUAUCGGGAGGAACACCAGUGGCGAAAGCGGCUCUCU
rnacentral:rRNA from 1 species